CAGAUGCCCCCUAACCUCUGCCGACUCCCACUAUGGUAAGAGACAUGACCCCCCCAUUAUACACCCCCAUUACCACAGAACACACUCACAGAGACAUGACCCCCCCAUUACCACAGAAUACACUCACAGAGACAUGACCCCCCCAUUACUACAGAACACACUCACAGAGACAUGACCCCCAUUACCACAGAACACACUCACAGAGACAUGACCCCAAUUACCACAGAAUACACUCACAGAGGCAUGACCCCAAUUACCACAGAAUACACACACAGAGACAUGACCCCCCCAUUACCACAGAACACACUCACAGAGACAUGACCCCCCCAUUACCACAGAAUACACUCACAGAGACAUGACCCCCAUUACCACAGAACACACUCACAGAGACAUGACCCCCAUUACCACAGAAUACACUCACAGAGACAUGACCCCCAUUACCACAGAACACACUCACAGAGACAUGACCCCCAUUACCACAGAAUACACUCACAGAGACAUGACCCCCAUUACCACAGAAUACACUCACAGAGACAUGACUCCCAUUACCACAGAAUACACUCACAGAGGCAUGACCCCCAUUACCACAGAAUACACUCACAGAGACAUGACCCCCAUUACCACAGAAUACACUCACAGAGACAUGACCCCCAUUACCACAGAACACACUCACAGAGACAUGACCCCCAUUACCACAGAAUACACUCACAGAGACAUGACCCCCAUUACCACAGAAUACACUCACAGAGACAUGACCCCCAUUACCACAGAAUACACUCACAGAGACAUGACCCCCAUUACCACAGAAUACACUCACAGAGGCAUGACCCCCCCGUUACCACAGAACACACUCACAGAGACAUGCCCCCCCCCCCCAUGGCCCCCAUUAUACCCCCACGUUACCACACUCAAACUUAGUUCGACCAUAAAAGGUCCCAGGCAUGGUUGGCAGCGCCCCUCCAGAACCUCCAGAACCUGUAACCAUGGUUCUCCAGGAGGUGUCGAGGAACCUGGUCCCAGGUCACUAGUGGUGUUGGUCUCAGUUGGCUUUGUUGAGAUACACUAGCGUUUAUUGCAGAUAAUGGUGUUGUAAAGGAAUUUCAGGGAGACGAUUGGCCUGCGAGGGUUCCAAAUGACCCCCUAUUCUCUUUCAUGGUGGUACGUGGGUCUCAUUCUCCUGUGAUCGUGGUCAUCCUACUGAAAUGACACUCCUAAAUGUUAAUGGCACACAAAAACACAAAGUUACAUUUCUGUACAUUAAUUCUGUUUGUGUUUGAGAGUGUGUGUGUAUUGAUGUGUGUGUGUACUGAAUGGUGUAAACAUGUGAUCCUAUUUAGGAGUUUCACUGCAUUAUUGAGAUCUGUAGGGAAAUCAUUUACACCUGCCGCUUCAUAUUCAAAUAAAUAUGGAAACUUGACACUUGUGCAUCCAAAUUAAUAACCUCUUUAACCAAUGUGUGUUGGUGUGUUCAGUCAGAAUCAGAUUACUAACCUCUGGAACCAAUGUGUGUUGGUGUGUUCAGUCAGAAUCAGAUUACUAACCUCUGGAACCAAUGUGUGUUGGUGUGUUCAGUCAGAAUCAGAUUACUAAACUCUGUAACCAAUGUGUGUUGGUGUGUUCAGUCAGAAUCAGAUUACUAACCUCUGUAACCAAUGUGUGUUGGUGUGUUCAG
ensembl:lncRNA